AAGCAAAUAUAUACAGAUCUAAAUCUGACUUUUCACAUGAAUAUAAAUAUUAGCCUCGAGAAGUGCACACGUAAAAGUGAAGUAUUAAAAGACAACCUUUGCAGGUAGACAUGAAGUUAUUCGACAUCAUAGUGCUUGUUGCUUUGUUGAUUGUGGCCUCGGUUACAAUCCAAGCUGAUGACGAUGGUUAUAGCAAAGGACUUCUAUGGCUUAAAUUAAAUUACGGUGGAGAUAAUACAGACUGGUUAACGUGGAACGGAUGAUACUUUGAAAAACAGAAAUAGCUUUAUUUUAUUUAAAGAAAUAAAAUGAUAAAAUUUAAAA